rnacentral:rRNA from 1 species
GAUGAACGCUGGCGGCGUGCCUAAUACAUGCAAGCCGAGCGAACGGACGAGAAGCUUGCUUUUCUGAUGUUAGCGGCGGACGGGUGAGUAACACGUGGAUAACCUACCUAUAAGACUGGGAUAACUUCGGGAAACCGGAGCUAAUACCGGAUAAUAUUUUGAACCGCAUGGUUCAAAAGUGAAAGACGGUCUUGCUGUCACUUAUAGAUGGAUCCGCGCUGCAUUAGCUAGUUGGUAAGGUAACGGCUUACCAAGGCAACGAUGCAUAGCCGACCUGAGGGGGUGAUCGGCCACACUGGAACUGAGACACGGUCCAGACUCCUACGGGAGGCAGCAGUAGGGAAUCUUCCGCAAUGGGCGAAAGCCUGACGGAGCAACGCCGCGUGAGUGAUGAAGGUCUUCGGAUCGUAAAACUCUGUUAUUAGGGAAGAACAUAUGUGUAAGUAACUGUGCACAUCUUGACGGUACCUAAUCAGAAAGCCACGGCUAACUACGUG